rnacentral:rRNA from 1 species
GUACGGGAGGCAGCAGCAAGGGAUAUUGCGCAAUGGGCGAAAGCCUGACGCAGCGACGCCGCGUGGGUGACGAAGGCCUUCGGGUCGUAAAGCCCUUUUGCCAGGGAAGAGGAAGGACGGUACCUGGCGAAUAAGCCCCGGCUAACUACGUGCCAGCAGCCGCGGUAAUACGUAGGGGGCGAGCGUUGUCCGGAAUUACUGGGCGUAAAGAGCGCGUAGGCGGUGCGUUAAGUCGGCUGUGAAAUCUCCCGGCUCAACUGGGAGGGGACGGCCGAGACUGGCGGGCUUGAGGGUGGCAGAGGGAGGCGGAAUUCCCGGAGUAGUGGUGAAAUGCGUAGAUACCGGGAGGAACACCAGUGGCGAAGGCGGCCUCCUGGGCUUCUCCUGACGCUGAGGCGCGAGAGCGUGGGGAGCGAACCGGAUUAGAUACCCCGGU